rnacentral:pre_miRNA from 15 species
UGCCACAACGCUCUGGGGUACGGGGAUGGCUGGUCGACCAGUUGGAAAGUAAUUUUUUAUAAUGUAUUUCACCUGGUCCACUAGCCAUCAGUGCCCACUGCAGCCUGCCGGGACCG